rnacentral:sRNA from 1 species
CCUCCUUCCCGGCGCGGCCAGCGGGGGCAAGAGCGAGGUGGCUGCGAGGAGGCGUCACUGAAAGCCCUUGCUUGGGGAAGGCUGCGGGCUCGGAGCCGGAGACGCCGAGCUGGGGCCGGGUGGCAUUUUUCUGAAGUUGUUCAUUAAGACUUCCCAGCAUUCCUACAGAUAUAAAUAGGUGAGGCCGCAGGCAGUGCUCUGGGUCCGGGAGCGCUGUCCCCAGCAUGAACGCGGCCGGCGGCGGGAGUGAAUGACUGCAGCUGCGACUUCCUUCCCGGGCCGUCCGAGCCUCCUUCCCCACCGACUUUCUUGUUUCGAUUAACUCCGUGGACUCCUCUUUCUUCGCCUGGAACAUCAAUAUGUGUCAUGUCAUUGUCACCUGUCGCUCGAUGCUCUGGACCUUGCUGAGUAUUGUGGUGGCUUUUGCCGAGCUCAUUGCCUUCAUGAGCGCAGACUGGCUGAUCGGGAAAGCGAGGAGCCGCGGCGGCGUGGAGCCGGCGGGCCCGGGCGGGGGCUCCCCGGAGUCCUACCACCCGACCCUGGGCAUCUACGCCCGCUGCAUCCGGAACCCAG